rnacentral:rRNA from 1 species
UGGGGAAUAUUGGACAAUGGGCGAAAGCCUGAUCCAGCCAUGCCGCGUGUGUGAAGAAGGUCUUCGGAUUGUAAAGCACUUUAAGUUGGGAGGAAGGGCAGUAAGCGAAUACCUUGCUGUUUUGACGUUACCGACAGAAUAAGCACCGGCUAACUCUGUGCCAGCAGCCGCGGUAAUACAGAGGGUGCAAGCGUUAAUCGGAAUUACUGGGCGUAAAGCGCGCGUAGGUGGUUCGUUAAGUUGAAUGUGAAAGCCCCGGGCUCAACCUGGGAACUGCAUUCAAAACUGGGGAGCUAGAGUAGGGCAGAGGGGGGUGGAAUUUCCUGUGUAGAGGUGAAAUGCGUAGAUAUAGGAAGGAACACCAGGGGCGAAGGCGAGCACCUGGGCUCAUACUGACACGGAGGGGCGAAAGCGUGGGGAGCAAACAGG